CACGUAGGGUGCGAGCGUUGUCCGGAAUUAUUGGGCGUAAAGAGCUCGUAGGCGGUGUGUCGCGUCGGCCGUGAAAACCUGCAGCUUAACUGUGGGCUUGCGGUCGAUACGGGCAUCACUGGAGUUCGGCAGGGGAGACUGGAAUUCCUGGUGUAGCGGUGAAAUGCGCAGAUAUCAGGAGGAACACCGGUGGCGAAGGCGGCCCACUGGCAGUCACUGACGCUGAGGCGCGAAAGCUCGGGGAGCGAACGGG
rnacentral:rRNA from 1 species